GCGCCGGCGACACCGCAGGCAGCGCCCCCCCAGACGGCUCCCCGCUGGCCGCGGCCGCCACCGCCGCCCGGCGACAGGCCUGGCAGCGGCACCGGCCGCCCCCGCCACCCGCCACCGGCCGCGGGGCGAGUCAGGCGCGCCAGGGGCAGCCCCGAGGCGGGGCGCGGGGCCUCGCGCCGCGCACUGCAUGCUGGGGCGCGUAGUCCCCGCGGCGGCGGCGAGGCGGUUUUCCCUCCCCCGUAACUCAAAUGUGUGGGAAGCCCUGCUUAAAGCGGCGACGGAGUCCAGCCCCGGUCGUAGAGCAGUGUAGGUGCCACCUACAGUUGAUGUCUUCAUGUCAUAAAGGCAGUGUACUUUUAAAGGAAGGCGUGUGCUGAAGCAAGCGAUUCUCUGGAGAGGUGCGAGCAGGCCACUGGGGCUUAGCUACCUUUCCACGCCGGUCCGGCCUGUGCCUGAACGCCACCCAGCAGAGCCGUGGCGAGGCUGCGCUGUGGCACCACUUCAUUGCCUGCGGUGAGCACCAGGACACGCGUCUUCAGGGAAGUUCAGGCACAAGGAGACAAAGCAAUCUGGUGCCCCACGCUUCUUUUUUCUUUUAAUUCUCUGGUUAAGGUUGAGAAUGAACAUCUGCGAACUGAACAUGGACUUGCAGACUGGAGCACUUCACCCAGCCCUUUACACAUAUAUGUGCAUGUAAUCAUUUCAUAUGUUUUGCUAGGGUUAAUAUCGUAAACUUAGGAAUGAGGUUAAGAAAGGCUUAAGAAAGAUAAAUGACCUCGCUUUGAUGUUGUGAAUAACUCUCUUCCCAACCGCUCCUGAGCUUUCUCUUCAGGUACUUCCCAGCACGAUAAUUGGAAAGUGUUAUUAAGACAGCAGAACUAUUGUUUAAAAUAGUUUGGAAAGACAUAGGUCAGAGAUGUGUACUCCAUAGGGAAAAAAGCAGGCUGAAGGCGUAAAGCCAGCUGGCUUCAUGCUGUAAGCUGGUAUUUCAAGUAGGGCAGUACAUUUACAGCAAAGAGCUAAACAUGAA